rnacentral:rRNA from 1 species
UACGUAGGGGGCAAGCGUUGUCCGGAUUUAUUGGGCGUAAAGAGCGUGUAGGCGGUUUGGUAGGUCCGCUGUGAAAACUCGAGCUCAACCUCGAGACGCCGGUGGAAACCAUCAGACUAGAGUCCGGAAGAGGAGAGUGGAAUUCCUGGUGUAGCGGUGAAAUGCGCAGAUAUCAGGAGGAACACCGAUGGCGAAGGCAGCUCGCUGGGACGGUACUGACGCUGAGGCGCGAAAGCGUGGGGAGCAAACAGG